GGAACAUAAUUUAGUGGUAGAGCCUCUGCUUUGCGUGCAGAAGAUGCCAGGUUCAAUCCCUGGCUUCUCCA